UACGUAGGGGGCAAGCGUUGUCCGGAUUCAUUGGGCGUAAAGAGCGUGUAGGCGGCCAGGCAGGUCCGCUGUGAAAACUCGAGGCUCAACCUCGAGAUGUCGGUGGAAACCGUCUGGCUAGAGUCCGGAAGAGGGUAGUGGAAUUCCCGGUGUAGUGGUGAAAUGCGUAGAUAUCGGGAGGAACACCAGUGGCGAAGGCGACUACCUGGCCUGUUCUUGACGCUGAGGCGCGAAAGCGUGGGGAGCAAACAGG
rnacentral:rRNA from 1 species